UACGAAGGGGGCUAGCGUUGUUCGGAAUCACUGGGCGUAAAGGGCGCGUAGGCGGCUUUGUAAGUCGGGGGUGAAAGCCUGUGGCUCAACCACAGAAUGGCCUUUGAUACUGGGACGCUUGAGUAUGGUAGAGGUUGGUGGAACUGCGAGUGUAGAGGUGAAAUUCGUAGAUAUUCGCAAGAACACCGGUGGCGAAGGCGGCCAACUGGACCAUUACUGACGCUGAGGCGCGAAAGCGUGGGGAGCAAACAGG
rnacentral:rRNA from 1 species